CAGUUAUCCAUGACCAUCUGGACAGACAGGACAAUUGCCAGCUAGUGUACAAUUGACAUACCAGAUACCCACGGAGGGCACGGUGUUGACUUGUAACAUCGUGAGUCUAGCAACGUGGUCCCUAGUCAGGCUCCCAUCCAGUGCCUCAACAACUGGCACGGGCACUUCGACGGUUUGCCCGUGGUUUCCUCGUCUAUGACGUCAUCUACACGUGACCACCAUCCACACCACAAAAUUGGUAACAGUGUCUGCCCGCCGUGCAUUUGCCCCUCGUGUGGAAGGGGGUUUAGAAAGCGAGAGAAACCCACUCACCAAUCAGUGCUCGUCGGGCUCUACCCGAGAGUGUGGACACGGCUUCAUACUCCGUUCCUGUUAGUUGCCGCUGCCACAGACACUUCUUAAGGUUUUCACGCCACCGACCAUCACCUGCAGUGAUGGUGACACAAUGAGGACAUCUCUCUCAAACGUCGAUCCUCACACCAGCGAGGCAGCUGUGGAGGAACAUUCUGAUUAUGAGGUACCGGGAAUCCACUCUCACCUGUACUCAUUAGCCCAGCAACCCUAAUUAGCAGUCAGGUAGCCUCGCACCUUCCUUCACUCGAGGACGAUGCUGGAGGAAGAGGAAGAGGAGUUCCAAAAGCGAAACAGCGAGGAAGAGAGAUUUGGAGGGAAAGGAAGAGGAACUGAAACAAGGAAGCAGAAGAGGAGGAGGAGUUAACUCGGUCGUCCUUGUUUGUUUACACUACAGCUGUAUUGAUACUUGUCUGCAUCUGUUUGUUCAGGAUAGGUGGUACACUUUUUUUUUUUUUGACCUAUAGGCUUCUUCCUCUGUGAUUUCCUUGCAGUAGACUCUCUCUCUCUCUCUCUCUCUCUCUCUCUCUCUCUCUCUCUCUCUUAUAUCAACACACACACACACACACACACACACACACACACACUCACACUCAGUAAGGAAAAUGAAACAGUCUGUGAAUUGUAAACAGAAACAUUUCUUCGGUAACAAGCUUUGCACAAUAGUUCCUCAACACCUCUAAACACAGAUACACAGUAACUCAGGGCCUUGUAUGGAUUUUCUAUAGUUAGUUUUAAAAGGGAGACAAAAAAAUAUCCAGCGUUAUAAUAGUUGUAGUUAAUAUAUUAAAUAUUGUUUGUGGUUGUGUUCAUUUUGAUUUAGACUGUAUGUAUGGUAUUUGAGGUAAAUUUUUCAUCCUUAAUCUAAGCAGUAUAAGAUUUAGGUAUAUAAAUAGGGAUUUUAUUUAAAAUAUUUGGGCAGCUUUCUAUCUAUUUUCACAUUUUUAUCUCCUUUUCUGGCUAAUUUUCCGUUUUCCAUUUUCACUUUAGGAUUUUUGUUUUCAUUUCGGUUUUUCUGUCCUCGUUCUUCCCGUCUUCCAUUUUUUCAUUUGCUAAUUAUACAACACGAACAAAACAGAGCGAAAUAAAAAGUUAAGUAAAAAGGAGAGGAGUAACGUACAAAAAAAUAAAUAAAUAAAGAAGGUUAAUUAAGACCUUUCUUUUUUCUUCGAUGUCUCGUGGUUGCUGAAAAAUUGAUCGGAAGACCCAAGAAAAAAAGCAUUAACAUAAUUUUGUAACCUAAGCUUUUGUAGCCUAACUUUUAAUGCGGAACUUUCCAGACUCGAAAAAGGAGUAGACUAGAUCGGGAGGUCUCGCCGGAACAGACUCUUGACUGAGCAUUGGUGAAGAGGUGGAGAGCAGAAGUCUGUUAGAAAGAAGGAAUAAAGAAUAAAGAUUAGAAAACAAAAAUAGGAAAGAAAGGGGAAGGCAUAUAUCAGAGGGAGAAUGAGGAAAGGAGGAGCAAAAAGGGAGGAAAAUAGAGGUCAGGAAGCGGGUGUAGGAAAAAAAGGAGAGGGAAAGUGGUGGAGAGGAAGAGAAAGGUAGUUUAUAGAAAGUGAAGGAGGAAUAGAAAAGGAGGAAGAGUAGAGGUUAGAAAAGAGACAAAGAAUAAAGAUUAGGAAACAGGAAUAGGAGAUAAAGGGGAGAGAAUCGGUUAAAAGGAAGAGAAAGGCAUAUCAGCAAAUGAAGGAGAAAAGUAGAAAGGGAGGAAGAAUAGAUGUUAGGAAGCAGGAAUAGGAGAAAAAGAAGAGAAACGGGUGGAAAAGAAGAGAAAGGCAAAUUAGACCGUGAAGGAGGAAAGGACAAAUAGAAAGGGAGGAAGAAUAGAGAUUAGGAAGCAGGAAUAAGAGAAAAAGGGGAAGAAAGGGUUAGAGAAGAAAAGGCAAGAGUUUGUAGAGGUGGAGAAAAGGAGAGAGGUUAAAGAGGGAGGAAGAAGGGAGGAUGGUAGGAAAUUAAUUAGGACAUUUGUUUUCUAGGGACUGAAUUAAAAAAAAAACGGGAUGAAGAAAUGAAGCAAGGUAGUGCUAAGUGACCUGAGUAAUGUCUACAAUUUUUGGGGGAACAGUAAAUGAGAAGGAAAAGUGUGGUGGUAAUAGAAGUAGUAGCAGUGGUGAUGGUGGUACUAGUAGUAUUUGUAGUAAUAGUAGUAGUUCACCUUCCACACAAGUUUUAAACUGCCAUAAUUAUUAUGGUGUGUGUGUGUGUGUGUCCUCUCUCUCUCUCUCUCUCUCUCUCUCUCUCUCUCUCUCUCUCUCUCUCUCUCUCUCUCUCUCUCUCUCUCUCUCUCUCUCUCUCUCUCUCUCUCUCUCUCUCUCUCUCUCUCAUGACUUGUAGGUGUCUAAGUGUACGUUGAUAUCCAAGCUUACUUCCGUCACAACAAACCGUCAGCUGAAAGGAUCCUCACGUCAUCCUCAUCUCUCCAUAGAAUCACAGCACCUUGGAGGGCAACACUUAUAAGGACCAUAUUCUGAAACACUUCUGCGCCGCAUCUCUACUAUAUUCAAAAGGCUCUAGUUGAAGUUAAGUGGGUUUUUAAGGAUGUUUUCGUGGUUGUAGUGACAUACAAACAUGAUUUUUAUACACGAUGAACAUUGAGAACCCGGCUUAUUGUCUCUGUGGUCUUUGAAAAUAAUCGUGGUGAGAGAGUAAAGUGUUUCAGAGUAGACACGCCCAGGCUCGCACUUCGCCUCGUACAUACCACCACAGUGCGUUUCACCGCCCAUCUCGGAGUAUGGAACGACGACGCUCGUGUGUCACCUCUCAUACCAGCUGCAGGGACAGGCUGCUCCUUGCCACUUGUAAGGCGGUGCGCCACAGCGUCCUGGCGGCUGCGGAAAGGGCCACGGCAGUCUUCUCUACAUCCACGUGUGUACAGAGGUUUUGAACACUGAUGCAGAGGAUUAUGAGUAGCCCCUUGGCCCCCGACGGAGAAAAGGAAGUACUCCUGCGCUCACUUCCCGGGGAUCACCCGCACUACUUAAGACAGUCUGAUCCGGAACAAGACUCCUCCACAGCAAGUACUCUCCCUACCACUACGAUUGUCCCACACGAUGUGUGGCGAUUUUAAUCAGAGAUUGCAGGACUGCAUCAUUCCUCACUCACAACUGGUCUCCAUUCACUUCUGUCAUGCACAAUCAUUCUACUAUGCUCUAGGAGCGUACACAAUACCUGACCAGAGGCGCCCACCCAGCGUCAACAACAGACCAAUUCAGAGAGGUUUCUCCGACGCCCCUGAUAUGUCUACUUGGAGAGCUUCAUCUUGCCCCCUUCACUAUUUCUACUCAGAGAACUCUCUCGUACCCUCCCAACACCUACAUUGAGAGCUUCCUCCAACCUUCCAUCAGACGGAAUGACGGUGGGACAACAGAGAGCAGGUUGGAUUGAAGCCAAUGGUGGACACAGCUAUCACACACACUCCUCAGCAUUGAGGAGAGUGCCUGAGGAAGGUCCCCAUACGCCCUUCAGUAACUUCCGCCCUUACAGUUCGGGUUUCAGGAACUGGAGUAGAAAUCACUCACCUUAUAACCACACACCUACUCCAAGAUCUGAGACGCGGGAGACACACAAUGAAUAUGCAUUAUGAACUAAGAAGUCAAUUGGUUUCGAAUAAUUCUGAGCCCUAUAAGAGGA